UUACGGGGUGCAGCAGGCGCGAAACCUCUGCAAUAGGCGAAAGCUUGACAGGGUUACUCUGAGUGAUUUCCGUUAAGGAGAUCUUUUGGCACCUCUAAAAAUGGUGCAGAAUAAGGGGUGGGCAAGUCUGGUGUCAGCCGCCGCGGUAAUACCAGCACCCCGAGUGGUCGGGACGUUUAUUGGGCCUAAAGCAUCCGUAGCCGGUUCCACAAGUCUUCCGUUAAAUCCACCUGCUCAACAGAUGGGCUGCGGAAGAUACUAUGGAGCUAGGAGGCGGGAGAGGCAAGCGGUACUCGAUGGGUAGGGGUAAAAUCCGUUGAUCCAUUGAAGACCACCAGUGGCGAAGGCGGCUUGCCAGAACGCGCUCGACGGUGAGGGAUGAAAGCUGGGGGAGCAAACCGGAUUAGAUACCCGGGUAGUCCCAGCUGUAAACGAUGCAGACUCGGUGAUGAGUUGGCUUUAUGCCAACUCAGUGCCGCAGGGAAGCCGUUAAGUUUGCCGCCUGGGGAGUACGGUCGCAAGACUGAAACUUAAAGGAAUUGGCGGGG
rnacentral:rRNA from 1 species